AUUGAACGCUGGCGGCAUGCUUUACACAUGCAAGUCGAACGGUAACAGGCCUUCGGGUGCUGACGAGUGGCGAACGGGUGAGUAAUGCAUCGGAACGUACCCAGAGGUGGGGGAUAACGCAGCGAAGGCUGUGCUAAUACCGCAUGUGAUCUGAGGAUGAAAGCGGGGGACCGAGCAGCAAUGUUUGGCCUCGCGCCUUUGGAGCGGCCGAUGUCGGAUUAGCUAGUUGGUGGGGUAAAGGCCUACCAAGGCGACGAUCCGUAGCUGGUCUGAGAGGACGAACAGCCACACUGGGACUGAGACACGGCCCAGACUCCUACGGGAGGCAGCAGUGGGGAAUUUUGGACAAUGGGCGCAAGCCUGAUCCAGCAAUGCCGCGUGCGGGAAGAAGGCCUUCGGGUUGUAAACCGCUUUUGGCAGGAACGAAACGGUGUCCGCUAAUACCGGGCGAUAAUGACGGUACCUGCAGAAUAAGCACCGGCUAACUACGUG
rnacentral:rRNA from 1 species